rnacentral:rRNA from 1 species
AGAGUUUGAUCCUGGCUCAGGAUGAACGCUAGCGGGAGGCCUAACACAUGCAAGCCGAGCGGUAUUGUUUCUUCGGAAAUGAGAGAGCGGCGUACGGGUGCGGAACACGUGUGCAACCUGCCUUUAUCUGGGGGAUAGCCUUUCGAAAGGAAGAUUAAUACCCCAUAAUAUAUUGAAUGGCAUCAUUUAAUAUUGAAAACUCCGGUGGAUAGAGAUGGGCACGCGCAAGAUUAGAUAGUUGGUGAGGUAACGGCUCACCAAGUCAAUGAUCUUUAGGGGGCCUGAGAGGGUGAUCCCCCACACUGGUACUGAGACACGGACCAGACUCCUACGGGAGGCAGCAGUGAGGAAUAUUGGACAAUGGGUGAGAGCCUGAUCCAGCCAUCCCGCGUGAAGGACGACGGCCCUAUGGGUUGUAAACUUCUUUUGUAUAGGGAUAAACCUUUCCACGUGUGGAAAGCUGAAGGUACUAUACGAAUAAGCACCGGCUAACUCCGUGCCAGCAGCCGCGGUAAUACGGAGGGUGCAAGCGUUAUCCGGAUUUAUUGGGUUUAAAGGGUCCGUAGGCGGGCUCGUAAGUCAGUGGUGAAAUCUCAUAGCUUAACUAUGAAACUGCCAUUGAUACUGCGAGCCUUGAGUAAGGUAGAGGUAGCUGGAAUAAGUAGUGUAGCGGUGAAAUGCAUAGAUAUUACUUAGAACACCAAUUGCGAAGGCAGGUUACCAUGUCUUAACUGACGCUGAUGGACGAAAGCGUGGGGAGCGAACAGGAUUAGAUACCCUGGUAGUCCACGCCGUAAACGAUGCUAACUCGUUUUUGGGUUUUCGGAUUCAGAGACUAAGCGAAAGUGAUAAGUUAGCCACCUGGGGAGUACGUUCGCAAGA